rnacentral:rRNA from 1 species
CCUACGGGUGGCAGCAGUGGGGAAUAUUGCACAAUGGGGGAAACCCUGAUGCAGCGACGCCGCGUGAGCGAUGAAGUAUCUCGGUAUGUAAAGCUCUAUCAGCAGGGAAGUAAAUGACGGUACCUGACUAAGAAGCCCCGGCUAACUACGUGCCAGCAGCCGCGGUAACACGCAGGGGGCAAGCGUUAUCCGGAUUUACUGGGUGUAAAUGGAGUGUAGUCGGCUGUGAAAGCCAGAGGUGAAAGCCCGGGGCUCAACCCCGGGACUGCAUUUGGAACUGUGUGGCUGGAGUGUCGGAGAGGCAGGCGGAAUUCCUGGUGUAGCGGUGAAAUGCGUAGAGAUUAGGAGGAACACCGGUGGCGAAGGCGGCCUGCUGGACGAUGACUGACGUUGAGGCUCGAAAGCGUGGGGAGCAAACAGGAUUAGAUACCCCAGUAGUC